rnacentral:rRNA from 1 species
GAUCCUGGCUCAGGAUGAACGCUAGCGACAGGCCUAACACAUGCAAGUCGAGGGGCAGCGGAGAGGUAGCAAUACCUUUGCCGGCGACCGGCGCACGGGUGAGUAACACGUAUGCAAUCCACCUGUAACAGGGGGAUAACCCGGAGAAAUCCGGACUAAUACCCCAUAAUAUGGGCUCUCCGCAUGGAGGGUCCAUUAAAGAGAGCAAUUUUGGUUACAGACGAGCAUGCGCCUCCAUUACG